rnacentral:misc_RNA from 1 species
GGUGGGCCCUCAAACUCAUCCUCUUCAGGGAGAUUUGAGGAAGUUGCCCCCUCUAAAGAGAAGUCUGGUGCACAAAAAAAGUUUGCUGUUAGAAUUGUUCAAAUGUUUAAUAAAAAUUCAGAUACAGCAACACCUGCUGGUGAUGGAGGCUUUGACAAUUCAGGGCCACCUGAAAUUGCUGGACCUGAGGUUUGUGAUGAUGAGUUGGACGAUCCUUCCUGUCCUGAUGACUUUGUAGAAAUAAUGAGAGCAAUGGAAUCUAAUGAUACGGGAAAUGAAAUUCCAAGCAAUUUACCAGGAGGAGUCCUUGUAGAUCAAUUAUAUAUGAUUGUCCCCCG